GGAAGUGGUGCAGGUUCUUUGGAAUGUCUACAACCUUUCAGUAGAAUUUUUUUUUGAAAAGCAUGGCACAGCAAGAAAAAGAUAUAAGACACUACAAGACAUUCCAAGUGAUUUUGAAUAAGACAAUUGAUUGACUUUUUCAAUGUAUUCUUAAAUAAAUCAAAUAGUUGAUGUAAAA